rnacentral:rRNA from 1 species
AACGAACGCUGGCGGCGCGCCUAAUACAUGCAAGUCGAGCGAGAAGACGUAGCAAUACGUUUGUAAAGCGGCGAACGGGUGAGGAAUACAUGGGUAACCUACCCUCGAGUGGGGAAUAACUAGCCGAAAGGUUAGCUAAUACCGCGUACGCUCCUUGGACUUCGGUUCAGGGAGGAAAGCGAUACCGUGGGUAUCGCGCUCUUGGAUGGGCUCAUGUCCUAUCAGCUUGUUGGUGAGGAACGGCUCACCAAGGCUUCGACGGUAGCUGGUCUGAGAGGACGAUCAGCCACACUGGCACUGCGACACGGGCCAGACUCCGUACGGGAGGCAGCAGUAAGGAAUAUUGCGCAAUGGGACGAAAGCCUGACGCAGCGACGCCGCGGUGGGGGAUGGAAGGUC